GACCACCCGCGCGCGGGUCAAGGCCAUACGGACAGCCGGGUCCACUGCCGA
rnacentral:sRNA from 1 species